GAUGAACGCUAGCUACAGGCUUAACACAUGCCAGUCGAGGGGCAGCAUGAUUGAAGCUUGCUUCAAUCGAUGGCGACCGGCGCACGGGUGAGUAACACGUAUCCAACCUGCCGAUAACUCGGGGAUAGCCUUUCGAAAGAAAGAUUAAUACCCGAUAGUAUAGUAUUUCCGCAUGGUUUCACUAUUAAAGAACUUCGGUUAUCGAUGGGGAUGCGUUCCAUUAGAUAGUUGGCGGGGUAACGGCCCACCAAGUCAACGAUGGAUAGGGGUUCUGAGAGGAAGGUCCCCCACAUUGGAACUGAGACACGGUCCAAACUCCUACGGGAGGCAGCAGUGAGGAAUAUUGGUCAAUGGACGAGAGUCUGAACCAGCCAAGUAGCGUGAAGGAUGACUGCCCUAUGGGUUGUAAACUUCUUUUAUACGGGAAUAAAGUGGAGUAUGCAUACUCCUUUGUAUGUACCGUAUGAAUAAGGAUCGGCUAACUCCGUG
rnacentral:rRNA from 1 species